rnacentral:rRNA from 1 species
UAAUACGGAGGGUGCAAGCGUUAAUCGGAAUUACUGGGCGUAAAGCGCACGUAGGUGGUUUUUUAAGCCAGCUGUGAAAUCCCCGGGCUCAACCUGGGACUUGCAGUUGGUACUGGAAAGCUAGAGUAGGGUAGAGGGGUGUGGAAUUCCAGGUGUAGCGGUGAAAUGCGUAGAUAUCUGGAGGAACAUCAGUGGCGAAGGCGACACCCUGGACUCAUACUGACACUGAGGUGCGAAAGCGUGGGGAGCAAACAGG